GGGAACUGUAAUUUCUACAGUUUAGCAACAAGGCACGCAUAGUGAACAACACCGCUGUGCGUUUCCAGGCCUGCAAACUGACUGAGCUCUUGUUUAACCAAAGGGAUCUGACUUCACUGAAUCCGAGGAGGCGUCUGGAGCAUCUGAUACAGCACAAAGAGACAAACGUUGGAGAGCACGACAGAGGAACGACAAAGGAAGACUGUACUUUCACUGCCCACCGGUGAAAGUGGAAAUGGGCUUUGUUGCCCCUCAGUCAGGCGGAAAAUUGCAAACCCAUUUGUCAUUGUGUGCCAAGGAUGCAGAGGGUUAAACGUGAACAAGCCCCGGCGAGUUAAGAGGCACAAGUGAUCCAACAGUACCGCUUGAGUCCUGGUUGCUUUGGCGAACGCAGAGGAGCUAAUGCAGACAACCUCUCCAGAGGAAUCAAUGUGACUCAAUAGAAUGAAAGGAAAGAGAUGAUUGACUUUUCCGUGAAUGAACCCACUGUCGUGGCUGCUCUCGCUGUGAUCUCUGGGAGUGUUUGCAACGCAAAAUGUUGUUGAAUUUCAAACAGGAGUUGAACUGCAGAGCUCAGAGCCUCCUCCACAAUAAUAACCAUGGGUGCUUCUGGAAGGAGGAAAUCCCCAAGACACAUAACUCGACUCCAGAGGCAACGCACAAACAAAGACUGUAGAGGGCUACUUAUAGAGCCACCAUAUCAAUAAAA
ensembl:lncRNA